GGUGCGGUACCCAAGUGGUAAGGGGGCAGUCUGCAAAACUGUUAUUCGCCGGUUCAACCCCGGCCCGCACCU
rnacentral:tRNA from 1 species